ACGGCUAAAUGAGGACAGAUCUGUCUCUUACAACUAAUCAGUGAAACUGAUCUUUCAGUACAAAAGCUGAAAUACCAACAUAAGACGAGAAGACCCUGUGGAGCUUUAAACCUACCACUAACAAAACUUAAAACUAUUUUUAAACUAGUGGAAAGUUUUGAGUUGGGGCGACUUCGGAAUAAAACACAACUUCCGAGCACAGAACCACUAAUUCUUACUAAGGCCAACAAGCCAAAGUGUAAAACAACAGACCCAGUCAUACUGAUCAACGAACCAAGUUACCCCAGGGAUAACAGCGCUAUCUUCUUCAAGAGUCCAUAUCGACAAGAAG
rnacentral:rRNA from 1 species